UGACGAAUUAAUAUUAAUUUUACAAUGAAAAUGUAACGUUUUUAUUAAACUACAUUAGUAGAGAU
rnacentral:tRNA from 1 species